AAAAGUUCGUUUGGUUUUUUC
rnacentral:miRNA from 1 species